UGGCUCAGUGGUAGAGCGUUUGCCUUGCAUGCAUGAGGCCCUGGGUUCAAUUCCUCAG
rfam:Dipodomys ordii contig_8215, whole genome shotgun sequence.